AAGACAUUGUGCUGCCUGGGUCCACCGAUGAAAUGCUGCCCCUCGCCCCAACCCCCCCAAAACCAUGUGCACAUCCGUUAUGUUAUGCAGUGUGUGGUGAAUGCUGUGUUUGUGUAAAGGAUGCAUUGUGUGCAUGUAGUGGAUACAGUGUCUGUGUUUAGUGGAUGCAGUAUCUGUUUGUAGUGGAUGCAGUGUGUUUAGAGGAGUUGGAUAGCAGUGGUUGUGAG